GGACCCGCACAAGUAGUGGAGCAUGUGGUUUAAUUCGAAGAUACGCGCAGAACCUUACCAACACUUGACAUGUUCGUCGCGACUUUAAGAGAUUAAAGUUUUCGGUUCGGCCGGACGAAACACAGGUGCUGCAUGGCUGUCGUCAGCUCGUGUCGUGAGAUGUUGGUUAAGUCCCGUAACGAGCGCAACCCUUGUCCUUAUUUGCCAUCAUUUAGUUGGGCACUCUGAAAGAACUGCCAGUGAUAAGCUGGAGGAAGGUGGGGAUGACGUCAAGUCCUCAUGGCCCUUACGUGUUGGGCUACACACGUGCUACAAUGGUAUUUACAACAGGAAGCAAGACUGCGAAGUUAAG
rnacentral:rRNA from 1 species